rnacentral:rRNA from 1 species
UACAUGGGGUGCAAACGUUGCUCGGAAUUAUUGGGCGUAAAGCGCGCGUAGGCGGUUACUUAAGUCGGAUGUGAAAGCCCUCGGCUUAACUGAGGAAGUGCACCCGAAACUGAGUAGCUGGAGUACGAAAGAGGGUCGCGGAAUUCCCGGUGUAGAGGUGAAAUUCGUAGAUAUCGGGAGGAACACCGGUGGCGAAGGCGGCGACCUGGGUCGAGACUGACGCUGAGGCGCGAAAGCGUGGGGAGCGAACGGG